rnacentral:rRNA from 1 species
UUCUUCCUAGUGAUUUCUGGUUGAUCCUGGCAGAGGCUACUGCUAUUGGGAUUCGAUUAAGCCAUGCGAGUUGAAUGAAUUUAGAUUCAUGGCGUACGGCUCAGUAACACGUGGAUAACUUACCCUUAGGACUGGGAUAACUCUGGGAAACUGGGGAUAAUACCGGAUAUUAGGCUAUGGCUGGAAUGCUUUGCCUUUGAAAUGUUUCUUGUAUUCGCCUAAGGAUAGAUCUGCGGCUGAUUAGGUCGUUGGUGGGGUAAUGGCCCACCAAGCCUAUGAUCGGUACGGGUUGUGAGAGCAAGAGCCCGGAGAUGGAACCUGAGACAAGGUUCCAGACCCUACGGGGUGCAGCAGGCGCGAAACCUCCGCAAUGUACGAAAGUGCGACGGGGGGAUCCCAAGUGUUAUUCUUAAUAGGAUAACUUUUCAUUAGUGUAAAAAGCUUUUAGAAUAAGAGCUGGGCAAGACCGGUGCCAGCCGCCGCGGUAACACCGGCAGCUCAAGUGGUAGCUGUUUUUAUUGGGGCCUAAGCGUUCGUAGCCGGGUUUGAUAGUCUUUGGUGAAGCUUAUGGNCUUAACUGUAGAAUGCUGAAGAUCUGUCAGACCUGAGUCGGGAGAGGUAAGAGUACUACGGGGUUAGGGUGAAAUCCUAUAUCCCGGGAGAACACCCGUGGCAAAGCUUCUACUGGAACAUCUUGACGUGAAUACGAAGCCAGGGGCCAAACG